rnacentral:rRNA from 1 species
GACGAACGCUGGCGGCGUGCCUAAUACAUGCAAGUAGAACGCUGAAGGAGGAGCUUGCUCUUCUGGAUGAGUUGCGAACGGGUGAGUAACGCGUAGGUAACCUGCCUGGUAGCGGGGGAUAACUAUUGGAAACGAUAGCUAAUACCGCAUAACAGUAGAUGUUGCAUGACAUUUGCUUAAAAGGUGCAAUUGCACCACUACCAGAUGGACCUGCGUUGUAUUAGCUAGUUGGUGGGGUAACGGCUCACCAAGGCGACGAUACAUAGCCGACCUGAGAGGGUGAUCGGCCACACUGGGACUGAGACACGGCCCAGACUCCUACGGGAGGCAGCAGGAGGGAAUCUUCGGCAAUGGACGGAAGUCUGACCGAGCAACGCCGAGGGAGUGAAGAAGGGUUUCGGAUCGUAAAGCUCUGUUGUAAGAGAAGAAAGAGUGUGAGAGUGGAAAGUUCACACUGUGACGGUAUCUUACCAGAAAGGGACGGCUAACUACGUG